rnacentral:tRNA from 9 species
CGGGGCGUAGCUCAGCCUGGUAGAGUACUACGUUCGGGACGUAGGAGUCGGAGGUUCGAAUCCUCUCGCCCCGACCA